UCCUACGGGAGGCAGCAGUGGGGAAUAUUGCGCAAUGGGGGGAACCCUGACGCAGCCAUGCCGCGUGAAUGAAGAAGGCCUUCGGGUUGUAAAGUUCUUUCGGUAAUGAGGAAGGGAUGUUAUUAAAUAGAUAGCAUCAUUGACGUUAAUUACAGAAGAAGCACCGGCUAACUCCGUGCCAGCAGCCGCGGUAAUACGGAGGGUGCGAGCGUUAAUCGGAAUAACUGGGCGUAAAGGGCACGCAGGCGGACUUUUAAGUGAGAUGUGAAAUCCCCGAGCUUAACUUGGGAACUGCAUUUCAGACUGGGAGUCUAAAGUACUUUAGGGAGGGGUAGAAUUCCACGUGUAGCGGUGAAAUGCGUAGAGAUGUGGAGGAAUACCGAAGGCGAAGGCAGCCCCUUGGGAAUGUACUGACGCUCAUGUGCGAAAGCGUGGGGAGCAAACAGGAUUAGAUACCCUGGUAGUCC
rnacentral:rRNA from 1 species